UCGAAUCGCAUGGCCUUGCGCCGGCGACGGUUCAUUCAAAUUUCUGCCCUAUCAACUUUCGAUGGUAAGGUAUUGGCUUACCAUGGUUUCAACGGGUAACGGGGAAUUAGGGUUCGAUUCCGGAGAGGGAGCCUGAGAAACGGCUACCACAUCCAAAGAAGGCAGCAGGCGCGCAAAUUACCCAAUCCCGACACGGGGAGGUAGUGACAAUAAAUACUGAUACAGGGCUCUUUUGGGUCUUGUAAUCGGAAUGAGUACAAUUUAAACCCCUUAACGAGGAACAGUUGGAGGGCAAGUCUGGUGCCAGCAGCCGCGGUAAUUCCAGCUCCAAUAGCGUAUAUUAAAGUUGCUGCAGUUAAAAAGCUCGUAGUUGAACCUUGGGCCUGGCUGGCCGGUCCGCCUCACCGCGUGUACUGGUCCGGCCGGGCCUUUCCUUCUGGGGAGCCCCAUGCCCUUCACUGGGUGUGCGGGGGAACCAGGACUUUUACUUUGAAAAAAUUAGAGUGUUCAAAGCAGGCCUUUGCUCGAAUACGUUAGCAUGGAAUAAUAGAAUAGGACGUGCGAUCCUAUUUUGUUGGUUUCUAGGACCGCCGUAAUGAUUAAUAGGGACAGUCGGGGGCAUCAGUAUUCAAUUGUCAGAGGUGAAAUUCUUGGAUUUAUUGAAGACUAACUACUGCGAAAGCAUUUGCCAAGGAUGUUUUCAUUAAUCAGUGAACGAAAGUUAGGGGAUCGAAGACGAUCAGAUACCGUCGUAGUCUUAACCGUAAACUAUGCCGACUAGGGAUCGGGCGAUGUUUUUAUCUUGACUCGCUCGGCACCUUACGAGAAAUCAAAGUUUUUGGGUUCUGGGGGGAGUAUGGUCGCAAGGCUGAAACUUAAAGAAUUUGACGGGAAGGGCACCACCAGGCGUGGAGCCUGCGGCUUAAUUUGA
rnacentral:rRNA from 1 species